CUGGUAUAAUAGGACCCACUUUCUCAAAAUUCACCAAAACUGAAUAGUUAACAGAACUAACGCAUAGCAUCAUCCAAUGUAUCCAUUUAUUAGAAAAACCCAAUCUUUCAAGCAUACCCCGCAAGAAUCCCCAAUCCACUUUGUCAUACGCCUUGCUAAUAUCUAUUUUUAAAGCAAGUUCACCUUUAAAACCUCUUGUUCUUCUCUUGAGCGCAUGAAUGACCUCUACAGCGAUAAGUGCAUUAUCCA
rnacentral:lncRNA from 1 species